AGAAACCCUGCUCAGAAACCAGAAGCCCUUGUACCUGUUCCCACAAAGACUGCGUAUUCUAGCUUGUUUGGCAGCUCUAUUACUUGUCUUUCUAAUGCAAGAAACAUGACAGGCCAAUUGUCUGAAGUCAUUUUGAAAGGUCAAAAAGAUCAUCUUGCAAACCAUUUUAAAUCAGAGAAGUCUUUAAAUUGCCUUUAAUCUCAAAGCCCUUUGACCACUUUCCUGUAUCCUUCUCUAGAGCAGAAGUAAUCUACUCCUCCUUCCAGACGAGUCUUUGUGAGCCUGUCAGUGCCAUUUUGAGGGAACAGAAGUUUCAAGCUGAGAAAGAAAACAGAUUCUGUCCAGUGUAUUGAUUCCUCACUGAUGUUUCUAUACUUUCUAAAGGGAAGUGAUGGUACAAUGAAGACUUUGCAGUGUGUCAUUGCUCGGUUUUCUCUACUCCAGUUUUGAAAGGAGAGAAGUCUAGACAUCCAGUUCAUUACAUCCUAUGUCUUUGGAUCAGUUUCCAAGAGAAAAAUAUACCUUUGUAGAAUCAUAGAAAUGAACAGCUGGAGUGAUCUCAGAAGUUCAACUUCCUUCCCUGGACAAGGUGAGAUUAAUAGGAAGUAUAAAAGAAAAUAAAGAAGUAGCAGAAUGGAGCUCUGGAAAAGACUGGAAAACAUGCUAGUAGUGGUUAUUUGUUUCAUUGUAAUCUAUUGUGUGUGUGUUAAUACUGUUUUUACUCCACUGGAACUUCAGAAGGAGACGCUUGGGAUCUGUUAUAAAGGAAGGCAGACAGGAAAAAAGCCUAGCCUUGCAAACGUCUACCAAUUUAUUUUUGACAGGGAAGUAAAGUACAAUUAUUUUUUUAAAUAAUCUUGGCAGAGGUAGGAGGAAUAGAGUUUGUACAUAGUCUGUUAAAUCUUGAUGACAAUACUGGAAGGCUGAGCAGGCCAUGUUCUCUCUGCAUGAUAACUACUAAUAGAAGCAAUAUUGUGUUUGAUGUGGAACAGAGCCAUUAUCAUUGGGAAAUUAUGUGCAUUUGAGUGUGCUGGUAGGGAAGGAUGGAGAGAGAGAGCUGAGGAAGAGCAAAAGUGUGAGUCUAGAAAGAGCAAGUCAGAUUGUGGAGUUAUCGUUUGAGCUUUGUGUAAUUGUGAAUUAUUAUUAUUAUUAUUAUUUUUCAUUUUUAGGCUAAAUUGAGUUGGUGAUGUACAGAGUGUUCACAUUUUCUUUGCUAAAGGAAUACUCAGAAUAGGAAAUUCAGACAGAAAUUGAAUUUAGUAACUUUCCCUUUGUGAUGAUGAUUAGAAUCAUGUACUGGCAGUCCACCACUUAGGCUACCACUCAGAACUGCAUGUAUUAUAUACAGCAUUAGAGACUGGGAAGUAGAAAAUUGAAUUAAAAAUUUCAGAUUUGAGAUUUGUAAACCUUUGUUUCUGGUGUUUCCUGAUGCUGCAGAAGUAAGACGGUUCUCUGUUAUCAAGUAACAAUCUUAAAUAGGAGAAAUUACUAUGAGAAUAUGUAAGAUCUAAUAUCAGCUUUAAGAAUAAUAUUGAUCUAAAUAUUGAUUUAAAUUCAUUGGAAAACUUACAAAAAUGGAAAAUAAUUCAAACACAUCGAGAAGUAAAGCUGUUGAU
rnacentral:lncRNA from 7 species